CAGAGAUGAUCAGAGGGCUGGAGCAUCUCCCCUACGAGGACAGGCUGACAGAUCUGGGGCUCUUCAAUCUGGAGAAGAGAAGGCUCUGAGGAGACCUUCUAGCAGCCUUCCAGUACCUGAAGGGGUCCCACAGAAAAGCUGGGGAGGGACUUUUUAUAGAGGCAGAUGGCGACAGGACAAGGGGAAAUGGUUUUAAACUGGAGGGGUAGAUUUAGAGUAGAUAUCAGGAAAAAAAUUCCUUACUGUGAGGGUGGUGAGAGACGGGAACAGGUUGACCAGAAAGGCUGUGGAUGACCCCUCCCUGAAAGCCUUCAAGGCCAGGCUGGAUGGGGCUGUGAGCAACCUGGUCUAGAGGGAGGUGUCCCUGCUUAUAGUAGGGGGGGUGGAACUAAAUGAUCCUAAAGGUCCUUCCAACCCAAACCAUUCUAUGAUACUAUGAUUCUAUGAUUCUUCUCUUUAAAAAAUUCAUUGUUCUACUUUAUGUCAUAAUGAAGUCCAUGCGCUCUUUGGCAGCAUAUAUACUAAAAUUGAAAGGAGACAGAAAAGAUUAAUGCGGCACCUGCACAAAUUGAUUUGGGAGUGAUAGGAAGAUUCUACAAUACAAAAAAAAAAAAAAAUAGACAUACAGAGCAAGUCUAGCAGCAGGCUGCAAACUGACUGAGGGCUGGAGAACAGGUGUGUGAGGAGAGGCUGAGAGAGCUGAGUCUGCUCGGUUUGAAGAAUAGAAGGCUCAGAGGAGACCUGGCUGCAGCAGCUAUCUGACCUCAGGAUACAAAGACGGAGGCAGAAUGUUCUUGUGGAUGCACAGAGACAGCCAACAGACACAAGCAGGAACAUGGGAAAUUCAAAUUACAGAACAAGAAAAAAAAAUAACAUGGAAGUGGUCAAAUACUGGAGUAGAAGGUGCGAGAUUGCUAUCUUAGGAAAUAUGUAAAGCUUGAGGGGUAUGACCCUGAGCAACCUGAUUCAGUCAGAUCUCUUUUGAGUGUGGAGUUGGACAAAACAACCUCUUGAGGUCUGAUGUCUUCCAACAUAGGUUAUUCUUUGAUUCUAUGAAAACCAGCUUUCUUGAUUCAGAAGUCUACUGGUUUUAGAUGUUCUUCACUUUAAAGACAAGAAGCAAGAAAGAUCUUUGACAGAGAUCCAGUCAGUCCUGUUGGCUUAAAGAAAUAUCAUGAUAUUUUUGUUUAUUGUUUAUAGUGUUGUUGGCUUUUUAGAUAAACAUUACUGCUUCGUAUUUGUAUGUCCUCUAAGAUACAGCUACCUUAGGUGCUUGAUUCAGCAAGCUACAUGUAUUUUACAUCUCUUCUGUUUGUUUUACCUCUGUUCCCUGUUCUCAAUCCAUAGCUUUCAUCAAAACCAGUUCUGUCCCAUUGCUUAUCCCCACAAGGACUGAAAAAGUGUCUUCAGAUGGCAGGCAUGUGAUUGUAAGGUAAUGAAGUUCCAGAUACAAAUAGUUUGUUUUCCUUUCUGUUUUCCUAAAUGGAAAUAUAUCCUCAUCCAGUGCUGCUGCUAUCUUCCUACCUUCUAAAUUACAAAUGUUAGUCGAAGAAUGAUUAGAUUCCUUAACUGCAUACAAGUAUACAUUAUAUAUAUACCGGACCUCUUGAGUCUUGUGCAUUUAUUGCUUUUCAUCUCAUGCUUUCACAGAAAACCCAUACCUCAUGCACUUGCAAUGCAGACUCAGCACUGGUCCCUCUGCUGACCUGCUAUAGCUCAGGGAAGCUUCCAGGCUGUUCUCUGAGAGUGCUUACAGGUCUAUACAGUGCCUCCCAAAUAGAUGCCCUAUAGACAUCUCUACUUAAUGUGUUCUAUAAACCAAGGACAGCCAUCACACAACCAAACACACUUCUCUCUUGUGUGUCAAGGCAGGCAAAAUGGGAGAGGUCCAGCCCCACAGCACACAACUUGGGUGGAG
ensembl:lncRNA